AGGGACUUAGGAUAACGAGACCGAGGGCCUUCAAAGCCCUAAGCGGGAGUGAAAGUCUCCCAGUCCCUG
rnacentral:tRNA from 1 species